rnacentral:misc_RNA from 1 species
GAUGAAGAACGCAGCGAAAUGCGAUAAGUAAUGUGAAUUGCAGAAUUCAGUGAAUCAUCGAAUCUUUGAACGCACAUUGCGCCCGCCAGUAUUCUGGCGGGCAUGCCUGUUCGAGCGUCAUUACAACCCUCAGGCCCCCGGGCCUGGCGUUGGGGAUCGGCGGAAGCCCCCUGCGGGCACAACGCCGUCCCCCAAAUACAGUGGCGGUCCCGCCGCAGCUUCCAUUGCGUAGUAGCUAACACCUCGCAACUGGAGAGCGGCGCGGCCACGCCGUAAAACACCCAACUUCUGAAUGUUGACCUAGAAUCAGGUAGGAAUACCCGCUGAACUUAAGCAUAUCAAUAAGCGGAGGA